rnacentral:tRNA from 1 species
UGGGCGAUGGUGUAACGGUAGCACAGCAGAUUUUGGUUCUGCUUGUCCUGGUUCGAAUCCAGGUCGCCCAG